GCCUGGCUGCACCUCUUAGACCUCAUUUAAGGGCUGACUGCCACUGGGGAAGGAUCUCUUUCUGGAGGUCCCUCCUUGGUGGAGCUUUCUCUUGUGAACCUGUGAUCUUCUGAUCCAGGUGCAGAUGCGUAUGGGACAGAAGUGAACUGUAAUUUGUCAUCUGCUAAUCCUAUACAGAUUACCCGUUGCCAUGAGCUAUUUGCUCCUGAUUUGCUGCUAUUCUGAGAAUUUCAUGAAGACUCUUCAUGAUGAUGUGACAACUGGAAGAUAAAGAUGAGCUCAUCCUAAUAGUAGCACUUAGAGACUUACCUAAAUAAAGUUAACUUUAUAACAUGCUGUUCAACCAGGCCCUGGUCCUCAGUCAGCUGUAUGACCUCCAGCUGAAUCAACAUACCUUUCUGCUGUUUUGUGGGAUAUUUCUGAAUGCACCAAAUCUAUUAUUUGGCAACAACGUUUCCAUCUCUUUUUGCAACCAAAAUCAAAUUUGGGGUAUACCAGAAUUUGAGAUUUUUCUAUUGCAGGAAGGACCUAGCAGUGCAUUUCACAACCCCAGCAUCAGGUAUCAGUCUGAUUUACAAAUGCCUGAAUGUUUUCCAGCAGAGAUUUUGGCCUUUGUUGAACACAUUCAAGCUUUCUGAUGUCUGCUUUUUUUUCCUGUUACUUUUCUUAAACUUUUUAGAAAUUGUUCACAAAUUACUGGAGUUUGCAAAUCACAAUUGGAAAACCAUUGGUUUUAGAGUGGUACUUCCAUGCCUUACGUGUUCACUGGGGUUGACCAAGGAGCCUUCAUCUCCAGCAUGUCCCUCUGCAGGUUCUUAGGAUGACACACAGGCUUUGUUCUUAAGUUUCUGAUCUCCUUUUUUUUUUUUCCUUGAAAUUCCUUUUGAUUUUAGUGAAGCCAUUUCCUAGGGUCUUCUCGUAUAAGCCACUACUUCCAAGACCAACAAACUGCAAUUGGAGGUAUCCUGAAGGGCAAUGAGAUGUAUUUCAAGCUAAUGCUCUAAACAAAUUGGAUGAAAUAGCUAAAGAUCCUGGAUGCUGUUUAUUCUACCUUACUGUAAGCUUUUGGUAAACUGCAGCUGUAUUUUCACAAAUAUUCUUGAGCUCACGUGGCUUAACCCAGAGUGUUAAUGUACGUUAUCACCACUUCUUGGUGUGCAAGAGCCUCAGAUGAGUGAGACCCCUGGGAGUGAUUGACUUUGCCUGUGGCAGUUUUGUAUUAUGGGCUCGUAAUUGUGAAUUAUAGAUACGGCAGAAGCACUUGCAUGAGAUGCAGGCAGAACUGGGGAGAAGAUGGGAGGAACUGAUGGAUGAACUUUCAGCAGCCGGAGGGCUUGAGGUCCUCCUGCCCCGGCAGCUAAGCUGGAUGCAGCUGUGACUUUAGGAUAUGAGGAUGCUGCUCCUAUUGAUUUCUUUGGGAACAAGAUGACUACAUACGUCAGGCUUCAACCAACUGUAUCCAAACCUUCUGCUCAUGAGAGAUUGAUAAUAUUUCAGAGACAAAUUCUUUUUCUUUUUUUUUUUUCCAGUAGGCUAACAAGUACUCAUUUAAUUUGCAUCCUGAAACUAAACGACCACAAACAAAGUUCUUUGAAGGGAAUCUUCUUCUUUCAUUCUGCUUUCAUUUAAGGAAAACAGAGAUUUCCAUGUAUAAUUCGCAGGGCUUAAAUAUCCUACUUAGUGUUGUUGUUUCUAUUUUUUUUCCUCAGCAAUUAUGUAGACUCUUGCACAAAUCUGAUGAGGGAAAGCUGGAAUUUACAUGUUUCUUCCUCUGUUUCACUCUGUGCAUAAUCACCAUCUAUUCAUUGCCUUUACAAACUCCAUUAAUACACCCACUUUCCACGCUAUGCCAGUGGGCAUUUUAAUGCUAUGUUUGCAGGCCUGUUCUGUGUAUUGAAACUUACAUUGGUCUGAAAGUGAUGUGACCACUUCUGACCUGAGUGUCCUCAAGAAGAAAUGAGCUGCAGCAAAGCUUGCUCCAACGGUAGGACUGGUUUAGAAUGAGUUGGCUGUUAAAGUAAAUAUUGCUCAUUCUGUUACCAUCCUCUGGCUAAGAUUCAAGUCAGUGGUGAUGGUGCAGCCAGCAGACCCAACUCUGAGCUAUUUCUUGUCAAUUAACGUGCUUUGAGAAGCCCAUUUGUAAUGGGGGAAGAAGCAACUUGCAGGUCGGUAAAACCUGAUUUCAGGCCAUAGGCUGAGUCAGCACUUGGUGAGAGUUCAGAGCAUUUCUGUGACCAGCUCCCCAGGGCUUUGGCUGCUGGUGGCCAGUUGUGCUGUGCAGGGCCGAAGCCGUUAGUCACCGUUCAUUCUCUCAAUUCCUUGUUAAAUGGCCACCCUGGCAAUUAAGGCAGAACAUUUAGGUAGAGUUUAUUUCAGUUUGGGUCUGUCCUGAAGUAAUACUAAACAACAUCCAGGAGUUGGGUUUAGUUAGGAGUGCACGUGGAACAAUUCCAUCUGACUGCAGUGUGGGCAGAAAAUUCCAUUUUGAAAUCCAUAUUUUAAGAAAACCCUUUUAUUAGCUCCUGCGUUCUGACUCUCAAGAGAUGGAUUUCACGUGGUCUGAGCUGUGCGUAAAGCUGCCGUGUGAUAAUUUGCCUGCAUGUGAAAUAUGUUUGAAAGUAGUGGAUGCAAGAUCCAGUGUUCCCUUGCUCGUCAUGGACGUGUGGGUUGUCAUCUUUGGUGAAAAUAGGCUCAGAGCAUUUAGUUAGUGUAAGUGAGUGAUGUACGCCAACAGCAGAGAAAACAUGGGAUCAGUCAGCCAAUAUUCACUCCUACUGUGCAGUUCUCCUCUUCGUGUUGCAUAUGGGAUGCAGAGGUGGAGAGAGACAUGGCUGAAAAAGCUGCCGUCCUUUGGAGUGAGCAUUCAGAGAAGCUGUUCAUAAUCUGUUUUCCUAAUACUGGGUCUAAUGUAAGCGUAAUGGGCAGGAAGGAGGAUUUAAGCCAUUGGGUCCUUUCUGAGCUGAACAGAAGUGCAAGGUAUGGUUGCCUUUUCUGGCAGCUAUCAUUGAGAACCGUGUACAGGUUUCUGUUUUAUUGCUGAGCUUUUUUGGUCCCAAGUGCCAAGUGUGGAGCCACGUCACUGACAGUUGCUGGGCACCUUGGAAAGCGUGACUUUACUGAAAGUUUGCUUGCCAGAAGGGGUGCAGAGUGCACUGGUACCUGUCAGGUAUUCACCCAGAUGAGCCUUGGAGUCUCUUCUGGCAGUCUUUCCUGACCAGCAAGUGUUUUAUUGGCUUAGAGAACAGAAUCUGCUUUCUCACAAAUGCGCUACGUUAUCCGUACCUCCUCAAAAUGAGUCACAAAGCCUCUGCUGGCAUUACGAACCAGGAGGGAAAGGCAGGGUGACUUUCUGCUUUGUCAUCAGUUCAGGCCACAGUAAACAAUCCAGAACUCCCAGUGGAUUCACUGGCCUCCAAAUGGUAGCAUGGAAACAUCAGGAGAGCUGAAUCAGCUGCGAUGGGCCAUGUUGCAAUUUCAUGACUUCCACUUGUUUUCUCUUGGAACUGCGCAGGAAAGGUUUGACUGCUGGUGGCAGUUGGUUUGCUUUGCUUUUUUUAGCUUCUCAUACCAUGCAGGGCUGAGGAGAGCACGGCAUUGCAGAGCUGGGAGAUGGACCAGUUGUUCAGAAGCCGUACAGUUGGAUGAGCGUGGGCCACAGGUGAAAGUUUGGCUGUCACAGCUCAGCUUUCACUCGCUGCUACAUAUCAGUGGUUUGUCUGCCCUGGGGAAGGCAGGAUGAACCUUGCAGAAAGCAGUACUGCAACACCACGGCUCCUGAUGGGGUCUAGUUUGCAAGAAUGGGCUUUUAUUACACAUGAGCUAAAAUCCCCUUCAGCAGCCUUCAAAAUGGGGGGCUUAACUUCCCCUGUGUGGUUUGCUUGUUUUGCAGUGAAGCCAGCAUGAGCAUGAAUGUGUUAAACUGAAAACAGGAACUGGGGACAGCCAAAAUAGAGGAAGGAUAUGAGUUAAAAACAGUGAACUGUACUCCUGUCCCUCCUUCCCACCCGUGCCAUACGAUAGGGAACAGAAGCUGGUAUUAUCCCAAGGUGUUCUAUGUAUUCUCUCCAGAACGUCUGGCUUCCCCACGCUUGAUACAGAGCUUGUAUUUCUUCUCAGAGAGCUAUAGUUGGAAAUAACUAAUUUAACAAUAGCUUCCAGAUAAAUAAAUAGGUGUAGACAGUUUCAUACUUUCCUGUAAAACCACAGACAGCAAGUUGCUCUCCUACAGGGAAAUUCUGUUUUUUUUUCCCUCCUUCCUCCUCCUCUUCCAGCUGGGUAGAGAGAGCACAUGUUUUUUGAGCUGUGAUGUCUUUCUCCUCAUCCAUAUGUCAUUUGUUCUCUGUCUUCAGGGUCAUGCUGUGCAUAAAAUGAGUGCUUCCAUUUCCACUGAUUGGGUUAGUAUUUUUUUCUACUUGGUGAUGUUUUUACCAGUUUUUCCAGACACUGGCACGUGUCUGCAGUCAGUGUACUUGAAGUGGUAUCCAUCCCUAGCUAGGUGUUGGGGCUUCGGGGGAGGAAUCUGUGGUUUGUUUGGAAUCCUACAGCCAUCAGGGAGGGGAGUAACAGCAAACCCUUCCUUAAUGCAGGAUUUGGGUUGCCGCCAUGUUGUGGUACGCUCAUCCUUCCAUUGGUGAAAAUCUGUGUGAAAGGAGGCUAGGGCAGGAAAAAAGACCAAUAUGUAUUCACAGCAGGUACUCUGUGUCUCCUGUUAUCUAAAUUCUGUGCGAGCAGUGAGCGCUGAUACAGCUCCAUGCCAGCUCUGAGACCACUUAAAGCAAAAUAAACAUCUUCGCAGCAUGGUCUGAUACAUGCUCCCUUUAGAGUUGCAGGCACCUCCAAUUAAUCAUGCUGCCUAUGCAGGAAGAGGCUUUAAGAAUCAGAGGACAUUGCUAGACUUGAUGGUCUGAUGGAGAGGUGGGCAGCGACUCAACAUUAAGGGUAAGUGGGCUGUGCUCCCAGCCGAGCGAGCAGUGGCAGCCACUCUUGCCUUGCCUCUCCUGCUCGAUGAGCAAUGUCUUGUCUGUAUGCUGCAGAAUCACAGGCUUUAACGAGCAGAGUUCUUGGUUCUGGCUUGCAGGAUGUAUUGGUGCUGUGGGGCAGUGCUCAGAGCUGUGCACACGUUUUUGACUAAACAGCCUUCCCUCCUUUGUGAGAAAAGGCUUUUAUAUUGUAGCUCAGCUGGCAGGUCCCUGCCAUAAAUCUACGGGUUGACCAAGCCAAAUGACUUCUUGAAAUGUUAAUGAAUGAGAUGUGACCGGUACUCUGGAGUUGGAGUGUCUGUGCGUAGCAUUCUGGGUCAGCAGAGGGGAAUCACCUGCUCCCUGUUUCGAGUGUGGUCCUCAUUAAGUGUCAUUGGCCCCAGCUGUGCAUCUUAAUGACCGUGUAGGCUUUUGGUUUUUGCUUUAAUUCUAGUUAUCUUGUGGAGCAUUGUAUCUUUAAGCAUUUUAUGGGCUUCAAAAAUGGCACCAAUUACAGAAAAUAAGUGAAGGGCUAAAAUCAGAGUAAGGAGGUUUCAGACAUGGAGCAAGUCAGGCUUUUCAUGGAGUGCCAGCAGAGUGCUUGGUGCUGCACGGAGCCCAGAGCCAACGCCAGUCACUGCCCCAAGAAAUGGGAGGUUAGAAGAGACAGAUCUGACCCAGCACAGGGCUGCGGGGUGACAGAGGGGGAGGGAGCCGAGCUGUGCAGCCUUUAUGGAGACGCGUUUGUGUUGGUGAACAAAUGCACUGCGAGCUCAAGAAAAUACCUUUGUCUGAGGUUUGGCCCGUUCUGCGUUGGUUUGUUUAUAAACAGAAAGGAAAUGGUUGUGUUUAAAAACAUCGUUUUAGGAGAGUGAAUUAAUCUAUGGAGACUCGGUCCGCUGUGCUGAGACACGAAAUGUUUUCAGACCUUAUUUUUCUUGAAAACUGAAAAAAGAUGAUUCUGUAGUGUGUACAGAUGCAGAGCUAUGUGCCUGAACCAAUAUGUCAAACUGUCAUGUGGGAGAUUUGGUGAAAAACAUCUUGUCCUAGGGGAAUAAUUUUAAACACUAUAUGUAGGUUUGCUGCCUCAUAAGAGAUCAUUACUCAAAUCUAUUCCCUCUUAUGGUAGCUUGGCCUCUGCUUAACGGGCUCAAAGUGAACAGAAGCCCAUUAAUGCAUCCUUUAAGAGCGGUUAUCGGGUGGUAGAGGGGAAGCUGAUCUCCGAUCGGGGAAUAUAGUGUUUUUGGCCAAACCAUCUGACUUCGCCUUAACAAGAUGAGUGGCAAUCCAGGAGCUUUACGCCUGGCUGCUCAUUGAGGGCGGCGGCGGCCGGGCCCACGCUGCGCCGGGCGGAUGGGUCUGUGGGCAGCGCCGAGCCGCGGCUGAGGCUUUGUCAGAGCCGGUGAGGAUGUGUAAGGGACAAGCCCUACGGCACGUGGCUGUUCCAGGGAUCUUCACCUCCUGUUUGUCACUUUAAUCUUGCAGCGACGCUGAAAUGUAGAGUGGAACCCAUUGCAAACCAGACCUUUACCAGACUGUAAUUGCGCACUCUUGCUCCCUGCUUGUCAGUGUCUCUUGUUUCUUUUGUUGUUGUUGGCUUUGGCAAAAAUUAGAGAAAUGACAGGAGCAGCACCUGAAGAGUAGCAUAACUCCUGUUGCCUGUGUAGCAUCUGCAGUUGCCUUGGCUACUGGCCAUACCUUCCUCAAGUAAUCUCAUCUCUCACAAGAUGAUGCAUGUAAUGCGUUCUGGUAUUGUAGGUGAACUCGCUCUUAAUGGGAUUAGCUUACCUAAAAGUCAGGACACAUCUGAGAUUGUAGCGUUUGGUGGGGUUGUCACAGUUAAGAGGAUGUGUUGAUAUUUAAAAUAAUGCAGAUGAAGAUGCUAGCUGAUAGAAGAGAUAUUAGGAGCAGCUUGGGCUAAGGAGGCAGUGAGAAGGAAUGGAAGUAUGUAUACGUGGUGUCUUCAAGACUGAGGAGAGU